CACCUGAGGAUGGGACUGCGUCGGAUUAGCUUGUUGUCGGGAUAAUUACCCGACAAGGCGAUAAUCCGUACGGGUUGUGAGAGCAAUAGCCCGGAGAUGGAUUCUGAGACAUGAAUCCAGGUCCUACGGGACGCAGCAGGCGCGAAACCUUCACAAUGCCUGAAAGGGUGAUGAGGGAACUCUGAGUGACUUCGCAAUGCGAAGUCUUUUGCCAAGUGCAAAAAGCUCGGUGAAUAAGUGGUGGGCAAGACAGUUGCCAGCCGCCGCGGUAAUAACUGCGCCACGAGUGGUGAUCUCGUUUAUUGGGCUUAAAGCGUUCGUAGCCGGUUUUAUAAGCAUCUGGUGAAAUCCGAUAGUAAACUAUUGGGCUGGCUAGGUGUACUGUAAGACUAGGGACCGGUAGGGGCCGGGAGUACUCCUAGGGUAGGGGUUAAAUCCUUUAAUCCUAGGGGGACUACCAGUGGCGAAGGCGCCCGGCUAGAACGGGUCCGACGGUGAGGGACGAAAGCUGGGGGAGCGAUCCGGAUUAGAUACCCGGGUAGUCCCAGCUGUAAACGAUGCCCGCUUGGUGUGGUGAAACUUUCGUGGUUUUGCCGUACCGUAGCGAAAGUGUUAAACGGGCCGCCUGGGAAGUACGACC
rnacentral:rRNA from 1 species